UCAAUGGGGGCAACCCUGAACCAGCCAUGCCGCGUGCAGGAAGACUGCCCUAUGGGUUGUAAACUGCUUUUGUACGGGAAUAACCACUGGUAUGUAUACCAGCCUGAAUGUACCGUAAGAAUAAGGAUCGGCUAACUCC
rnacentral:rRNA from 1 species